rnacentral:lncRNA from 1 species
GGCUUCCGGCGGGAGGGGCGGCAGAGGUCCGGCUGCGCCUCGCGUGGUGCCGCCCUUCCCCCCUGGCCCGCGGUGACCGUGGCUGGUGCGCGUUUUCCUCUGUUCUGUGGCCCGAGGGCUCUGCAGUCGGCUUCCCGGAAUGGCGAAGUCCUGGGGAGGCUUGUCUACAAAUACAGAGGCUGUUUCCCCACAUGCAGGAGUGGCCAUGAGACUGGGCCUGACCAGAGAGAUUCAAGAGGAAGUCUGCUGAUUGAUCUAUUGGAAACAGAAUAAUUUCUACCCGGGAAGUCUACACUUCAACCAUGUUCUCAGGGUCCUUUACAUCCUGGUGUCUCUCUGAGGCAGAGAGACAACUUCAUCACCUGCACAUCUCAAUGGAUUUUGUUGGGAAGAGGAGACCAGGCACAGAAAGCAGAUUCUUGGUUACCGAAGUCUGGGGGGAGGCAAGAAGGAGAAGUAACCACCUACUGGGUGGCAAGAACAGGUCUCUUUGAUGAAGUGACAUUUAAACCGGAUGAACUGAGGGAACAAGCCUUAUCAGGGGAAGAAUAAUCCAGGCAGAGGGAAAGCAAGUGCAAAGCAAGAAAGCUGGAGCUGAAGGAUCUGGGGGAGAGACG